GGAAGCUGAAAGAGGGCAAAGUCUGAGAAAAGAGGCAACAGGAAGAGUUCGAGGACAGAGUUGAAGGCAAGCAGUGGCCCAAAUACGACUUCUAAUGGCCACCUGUGUUCCUCGGCUCAAGGCCCUUCCUCCGUCUGCAACAUGCUUCACUCCAAUCUCUGCCUCUAUCAUCACACCAUCUUCUUCCCUCGGACUCUUCUGCCUCUCUCUUUAAGGAUCCUUCACCAGUCAAGUGCCUGACACAUCGUGGUGCUCAAAAAUUGUUGGUUGAACUCAGCAACUGGGCGAUCAUGAUUCGGCUGCCAUUUCCUUCGCCAGAGUUAAUUCUAGAUCACUGA